AUGCGACAGGACACAAUCAAACCUGCCCCAUAUCUGCCAACUGCAUUUCCUGUUGAGGUGGUGUCAACUUGUAGACUAGUAUCUGCAUCUGCACUUGUUCCUCUUGAGCACAAGGUACAGAUUAAGAUCUGAGUUAAGACAGAACACAGAAAGUUUCAGUCAAGACAAGAGCUAACAAUAUGCUGAGUCUUAGCCUCCUGGGAGCAACCGUCAGCUUCAUUUCUUUAGCAACCAGCAUGGCCCAGAAGGUAACUCAGGCUCAGACUUCAAUUUCUGUGAUGGAGAAGAAGUCUGUGACAUUGGAUUGUGUGUAUGAAACCCAGCAAAGUACUUACUACUUGUUCUGGUACAAGCAAACAACAAAUGGGGAAAUGGUUUUCCUUAUUCUGCAAGAGUCUUACAAAGGAAAUGCAACAGAGGGUCGUUAUUCUCUGAACUUCCAGAAUUCAGAAAGUUCCAUUGGACUCAUCAUCACAGCCACACGGAUCGAGGACUCAGCAGUGUAUUUCUGUGCUAUGAGAGAGGGCACAGUGGCAGAGGAGUCUACAAGAGGCCCAUAAAAACCUCAACCAGAGAGAGGGUCUGCGGAGAGACUCCACAGACAGGGAGAGGCGGGGCCUGGGAGAGAACAGGAGGGGCUGGCAAAAAACCUUAAUGCAUUCAUGUUGAAUGUCUUUCUUUAUCAGUCACGGUAGUGUGCAUGUUGAGAACUGAAUGAGUCUUCUGAGUAUAUAUUAUGGUCUUCAGUUUAGUGUAUUUAUGGGACUGCCAAGUGAAUGAAAGAAUGAGUCUCUCAUUCCUGUGACUUCUCUUGGGCUCUUUUCAUUCUCUUGGUUUGUCUUCCUGCAUUUCAGUGUGACAGGCUUUAUUUUAUCUUACUAUAGUUUCUUUUGUUAUAUUUUGUUGUUAUCACUUAGAAGUCUGUUCUCUUCUAAAGAGAGAGAGAAAAGAGUGUAUUCAGAUGAGAAGGGAUGUGGGGAGGAACUGGGAGCCAGGUGCAGUCGUGCCUGUUUGUAGAGAUCAGAGGUGACCAAAGACUAGCACCUGAAAAGCACCUCCUUACCUACCUACAAUUUACAUUCAGACAGAUCAAUAGGAC